rnacentral:rRNA from 1 species
UACGUAGGGUGCAAGCGUUGCCCGGAUUUAUUGGGCGUAAAGGGCGCGUAGGCGGCUCUGCACGUUCGUUGUGAAAUCGCCCGGCUCAACUGGGCGGGGUCAGCGGAUACGGCAGAGCUUGAGCAAGCUAGGGGGCAAUGGAAUUCCCGGUGUAGUGGUGGAAUGCGUAGAUAUCGGGAGGAACACCAGUGGCGAAGGCGGGUCUCUGGGCCGAUACUGACGCUGAGGAGCGAAAGCGUGGGGAGCGAACAGG